rfam:Gossypium hirsutum cultivar TM-1 chromosome 20, whole genome shotgun sequence
UAUUAAAAUUGAAUCCAUUUGUACAGUUAAAAAUUGGCUUAGUUGAUAAAAUAACCAAACAGUGACAUGUGUACUCUAUGCUGACAUAUAGAGACUAACUUUUAAUAGUAGUAUUAGAUGAAGUUUUUAAUA